GAUGAACGCUAGCGGCAGGCUUAACACAUGCAAGUCGAGGGGUAUAGUUCUUCGGAAUUAGAGACCGGCGCACGGGUGCGUAACGCGUAUGCAAUCUACCUUUCACAGAGGGAUAGCCCCAGAGAAAUUUGGAUUAAUACCUCAUAGUAUAGCAGUUUCGCAUGAAACCACUAUUAAAGUCACAACGGUGAAAGAUGAGCAUGCGUCCCAUUAGCUAGUUGGUAAGGUAACGGCUUACCAAGGCAACGAUGGGUAGGGGUCCUGAGAGGGAGAUCCCCCACACUGGUACUGAGACACGGACCAGACUCCUACGGGAGGCAGCAGUGAGGAAUAUUGGACAAUGGGCGCAAGCCUGAUCCAGCCAUGCCGCGUGCAGGAAUAAGGUCCUAUGGAUUGUAAACUGCUUUUAUACAGGAAGGAAACACACCCUCGUGAGGGUACUUGACGGUACUGUAUGAAUAAGGACCGGCUAACUCCGUGCCAGCAG
rnacentral:rRNA from 1 species